GUGGGAGGGGGCUUGCUCCCGAUAACGGAGUGUCAGUCAGCUCAUGUGCCACUGAUACCCUGCUAUCGGGAGCAAGCCCCCUCCCAC
rnacentral:misc_RNA from 1 species